UGUGGGAGCGAGCCUGCUCGCGAUAGCGGUGAGCCAGUCAGUAUCCAUGGCACUGACAGACCGCCAUCGCGAGCAGGCUCGCUCCCACA
rnacentral:misc_RNA from 1 species